UUAAGACUUGAUGUAACAUGGUUAGCCCAGAGCAGAUGGGUUAUUUCCCUGCCACCAGCAUGACAUCAGAAUUUGGUUAUGAUAGUUUGGAACUCCCCACAAAGGAAUCAGGUUAAACAUUCUGAACAAUGGCAUUGUUCCCUUGAGCCAGGAGACUACAGUCUCCUGUGUAGGAGAGCGUUUGAAUUGCAAGGAAACCAUGUCCAGAUUCAACCCCCUUACCCUCCUCCCCACAUUUCCUCUGGUCAUGUUGGGUCAGCUACUAUCCAAGUGUCCUGGACAGAGCUCAAAAGAUCAAAGAUGAAUGGACCUCCAAUGAUUCACCUUACAGUUUACCUGAGUCUGUGGUGACAGCCUCUCUACAACAUAGGAGAUACACAGGGUAUUUUCAGAGACUUUGAAGGGCUAAUGACACUGUUUUUCAAAGAGGAGUGGCUUGUGUGGCCUCUCAGAGGUUUCCUGGAAUGUAGCUCCACAUUUCUGGUGAACCUGUGCUGCUGGAAAUCCUGAGCAACGGAGAGAACAUAGGCACUGGAGAGGAAGAGCUGGGCUGAAUACCAACUCUGUUGCUUACUAGCCAGCUGAAUCUAGGUCAGUUACUGAAACUCUUGGAGCCUCAGUUUCCUUGCUUGUAAAUGAGGAUAUCAGUCAUUCUUCCAUCAUCAAUUUGUUGUGAGAACUAAAUGAGAUAAUAAUCAUACUUUACUUAGAACAUUGCUUGCACCGUUAGUGCUAUCUAAGUAUUA
ensembl:lincRNA